rnacentral:rRNA from 1 species
ACUCCUACGGGAGGCAGCAGUGGGGAAUAUUGGACAAUGGGCGAAAGCCUGAUCCAGCCAUGCCGCGUGUGUGAAGAAGGUCUUCGGAUUGUAAAGCACUUUAAGUUGGGAGGAAGGGCAGUAAGUUAAUACCUUGCUGUUUUGACGUUACCGACAGAAUAAACACCGGCUAACUCUGUGCCAGCAGCCGCGGGUAAUACAGAGGGGUGCAAGCGUUAAUCGGAAUUACUGGGGCGUAAAGCGCGCGUAGGUGGUUUGUUAAGUUGGAUGUGAAGGCCCCGGGGCUCAACCUGGGGAACUGCAUCAAACUGGCAAGCUAGAGUACGGUAGAGGGUGGUGGAAUUUCCGUGUGUAGCGGUGGAAUGCGUAGAUAUAUGGAAGAACACC